GAGUUUGAUCCUGGCUCAGGACGAACGCUGGCGGCGUGCCUAAUACAUGCAAGUCGAACGAGUCCUCCCAAUUUGAUUUUAUGCUUGCAUAAAUGAUUUUUGGAUUCGGGACGAGUGGCGAACUGGUGAGUAACACGUGGGUAACCUGCCCUAAAGCAGGGGAUAACAUUUGGAAACAGAUGCUAAUACCGUAUAAUUAGUUGGAACCACAUGGUUCCAACUUGAAAGAUGGCUCUGCUAUCACUUUAGGAUGGACCCGCGGCGUAUUAGCUAGUUGGUGAGAUAAAAGCUCACCAAGGCGAUGAUACGUAGCCGACCUGAGAGGGUAAUCGGCCACAUUGGGACUGAGACACGGCCCAGACUCCUACAGGAGGCAGCAGUGGGGAAUAUUGCACAAUGGAGGGAACUCUGAUGCAGCAACGCCGCGUGAAGGAAGAAGGUUUUCGGAUCGUAAACUUCUAUCGACAGGGAAGAAAAAAUAGACGGUACCUGAAUAAGAAGCCCCGGCUAACUACGUGCCA
rnacentral:rRNA from 1 species